rnacentral:rRNA from 1 species
CCUACGGGGGGCAGCAGUGGGGAAUCUUGCGCAAUGGCCGAAAGGCUGACGCAGCGACGCCGCGUGUGGGAUGACGGUCUUCGGAUUGUAAACCACUGUCGGGAGGGACGAAGUUCUGACGGUACCUCCAAAGGAAGCACCGGCUAACUCUGUGCCAGCAGCCGCGGUAAUACAGAGGGUGCGAGCGUUGUCCGGAAUCACUGGGCGUAAAGGGCGCGUAGGCGGCCUGGUAAGUCGGGGGUGAAACGCUGCGGCUCAACCGCAGCACUGCCUUCGAGACUGUCAGGCUGGAGCACGGUAGAGGCUGGUGGAAUUCCCGGUGUAGCGGUGGAAUGCGUAGAGAUCGGGAAGAACAUCGGUGGCGAAGGCGGCCAGCUGGGCCGUUGCUGACGCUGAGGCGCGACAGCGUGGGGAGCAAACAGGAUUAGAUACCCGGGUAGUCUC